rnacentral:rRNA from 1 species
UACGGGGGGAGCAAGCGUUGUUCGGAUUUACUGGGCGUAAAGGGCGCGUAGGCGGCCAGCACAAGUCAGUUGUGAAAUCUCCGGGCUUAACUCGGAAAGGUCAACUGAUACUGUGCGGCUAGAGUGCGGAAGGGGCAACUGGAAUUCUUGGUGUAGCGGUGAAAUGCGUAGAUAUCAAGAGGAACACCUGCGGCGAAGGCGGGUUGCUGGGCCGACACUGACGCUGAUGCGCGAAAGCCAGGGAGCGAACGGG